rnacentral:misc_RNA from 1 species
UUAAGUUCAGCGGGUAGUCCUACCUGAUUUGAGGCCAGAUGUUAUGAAUAUUAAUCCGAAGAUCAAUGGAUUAGAAAGCGGUCUUUAGUCUGCAACAGGGCCAUCCGAAGAUGUCCUUAGCGAAAUACUUAUUACGCCAAGUCAAACCAUGUCGCGAGACAGAUCCAGCUAUUACUUUUAAGACGAGCCGACUUAUCAUC